UACGUAGGGUGCGAGCGUUGUCCGGAAUUACUGGGCGUAAAGAGCUCGUAGGUGGUUUGUCGCGUUGUUCGUGAAAACUCACAGCUUAACUGUGGGCGUGCGGGCGAUACGGGCAGACUGGAGUACUGUAGGGGAGACUGGAAUUCCUGGUGUAGCGGUGGAAUGCGCAGAUAUCAGGAGGAACACCGGUGGCGAAGGCGGGUCUCUGGGCAGUAACUGACGCUGAGGCGCGAAAGCGUGGGGAGCAAACAGG
rnacentral:rRNA from 1 species